CUAGCAUCCAUACCAUAUAUUUUCAGACUUCUUGGGUGUGAUUCAACCUGUCCACUGAGAGUCAAAGAACUACACAGGUAUAAGAUGGGAGGAACAUAGUGCUGAAUCUGGCCCUUCUGUUUACUCUCAAGGCUUAUUAUCUGGCCUAGUGCUUAUUUACCAGUUAUUGAACUCUUGACAGUAAGUACUGUGCUCCACAGCUAGCAUUUGGAGGAUCGUGCUGUUAGUAUAGGUUGCAUAAAGAGGCCUUUUGUUCAAAAAAAGGAAAAUGUGCAGCAUUUAGAAGCCACAUUCUAAAUCUAGUAUUGAUAAUGGACAGUUAAAUCAACUAUUGCUCAAACAGGCAUUCACAGAUUUUGUCUGAAUUAAGCAUGCCUGAAUCUUUGUGCCACAAUGUGUGCACUCAUUUCUUUCACAGACAGGCAGUUCAUGAAGUAAUAGUAUAGGCUGGGAUUGAGUCUAGGGCAAAGCAUGAGGACUUGAGGCUCCAAACGGGGAAGAAAAAAAUUAGAAAAACCCAAAAUAAAAAAUAAACCAUAUGGAAUCCACACUCAGAUGCCUUUUAAAACAACCACAAACAUUCUUGCUGCCUCAAGCUGCAAAUGUCGUGAAACAAUUACUGGGCUGGGGGACUUCAAAGGUUCACUGAGAGCAGCAGUUUUAUUUUUCAAUCAAACACAGGAAUAGGGCUUUUUUUUCUGAAUGAAACUGCACCCAGGCUUCCUGAUUUCAAAAACCCUGUUCCGCUUCGCUUGACCACUCCAUAACCUUAGGAGAAGCUCAAAAACUUCAAAAUGAAACUGUCCAUAGGUGUGCAUGGAGCUUUACAGAAAUAUAAGAAGACAAGUUACAUGCCUCACAGAAUGGAAAAAAGGAAGAAUCCAUGUGCCAGCAAAUGUGAUCCAGCAGUUAUGGUUGGGAUGAAUCCAGUGAGGUUCAGCGUUCCUUCCCUCACCCCUUCAAGUGGACUAUUUAUUUAAACAACACUUGGCCCUUUUCAUCUUCAGAUCAUUUUUCGUUUACAAUAACUAAUUAAUCCUUACAACACUCCAUGGGGUACUCGGAUCUUCAUGUUACAGACAGGGGAACUGAAAAUGAGUGGUUGAACAACCUGCCCAGACCACAAAAGGAAUCAGUUGCAGAGCUGAGAUUAGAAAAGAUGGGCUCUUAACAUUCAUAAUUCAUAUAACUACUAAUAGCAUUACAUGCUCACCUGAGCAUCUCAAAGCCCAAAGUAAAUAGCAUUCACAACAUCUUUUUGAUGAAAAUGUUAAUUAAUCCAUUCCAUACAGAUAUAAAAGAAAGCCAGCUUAAUGCUCUUCGUCACUGGGUAUGUCUACACAUGCAUUAAUUUGCCUUUUCUAAUGCACAUUAAAUUUAGUACUUCCAAUGUGAAGGUGCCUAUACAUGAACAUGGGGGCUGCUCCAACGCGCUGUAAUUACAAUGAAUUGAGUCUGCUGGAGCUUGGUAAUUACCACACUCCAGCAGUCUCCCACAUCUUGUGUAUCAGCGUCC
rnacentral:lncRNA from 1 species